rnacentral:rRNA from 1 species
UUCGGGCCUCUGGCCAUCAGAUGAAGCGAGAUGGAAUUAGCUAAUAGGUGGAGUAAUGGCACACCUAGGCGACGAUGCCUAGCUGGUCUGAGAGGAUGACAAGCAACACUGGAACGGAGACACGGUCCAGACUCCUACGGGAGACAGCAGUGGGGAAGAUUGCACGAGGGGCGCAAGCCUAAUGCAGCCAUGCCGCGUGUAUGAAGAAGGCCUUCGGGUUGUAAAGUACUUUCAGGGAGGAGGAAGGCGUUAAGGUUAAUACCCUUAGCGAUUGACGUUACUCGCAGAAGGAGCGCCGGCUAACACCGUGCCAGCAGCCGCGGUAAUACGGAGGGUGCAAGCGAUAAUCGGAAUUACUGGGCGUAAAGCGCACGCAGGCGGUUUGUUCAGUCGGAUGUAAAAUCCCCGGGCUCAACCUGGGAACUGCAUUCGAAACUGGCAAGCUUGAGUCUUGUAGAG